UACGGAGGGGACUAGCGUUGUUCGGAAUUACUGGGCGUAAAGCGCGCGUAGGCGGACCUGCAAGUCGGGGGUGAAAGCCCGAGGCUCAACCUCGGAACUGCCUUCGAUACUGCGGGUCUCGAGUCCGGGAGAGGUGAGUGGAAUUCCUAGUGUAGAGGUGAAAUUCGUAGAUAUUAGGAAGAACACCAGUGGCGAAGGCGGCUCACUGGCCCGGUACUGACGCUGAGGCGCGAAAGCGUGGGGAGCAAACAGG
rnacentral:rRNA from 1 species